AGAGGUGGCAAGCGUUGUUCGGAAUUAUUGGGCGUAAAGAGCACGUAGGUGGAUUUGUUAGUCAGAUGUGAAAGCCUUUUGUUCAACGGAAGAAUUGCAUCUGAAACUACAAACCUUGAGUAUAGGAGGGGAGAGUGGAACUUCUGGUGGAGCGGUGAAAUGCGUAGAUAUCAGAAGGAACGCCGGCGGCGAAAGCGACUCUCUGGCCUAUAACUGACACUGAGUGUGCGAAAGCUAGGGGGGGAGCAAACGGGAUUAGAUACCCCGGUAGUCCUAGCCGUAAACGAUGGGCACUAGUAGGGGGAACUACCGAUGUUCUCUCUGCCGUAGCAAACGCAUUAAGUGCCCCCCGCCUGGGGAGUACGGCCGCAAGGCUA
rnacentral:rRNA from 1 species